rnacentral:rRNA from 1 species
UACGUAGGGUGCAAGCGUUGUCCGGAAUUAUUGGGCGUAAAGAGCUCGUAGGCGGUGUGUCGCGUCGGCCGUGAAAACCUGCAGCUUAACUGUGGGCUUGCGGUCGAUACGGGCAUCACUGGAGUUCGGCAGGGGAGACUGGAAUUCCUGGUGUAGCGGUGAAAUGCGUAGAUAUCAAGCGGAACACCGGUGGCGAAGGCGGCCUCUGGACAAUGACUGACGCUAAAACACGAAAGCGUGGGGAGCAACAGG